rnacentral:rRNA from 1 species
CAGCCGCGGUAAUUCCAGCUCCAAUAGCGUAUAUUAAAGUUGUUGCAGUUAAAAAGCUCGUAGUUGGAUCUGGGGUUCGGGUCGGUGGUUUGCCGCUCUGCGGCUACUGCCGUGCUCGACUCUUACUAGCCGGUGCGUCUCGUGGUGCUCUUCAUUGAGUGCCACGAGAGCCUGGCAUGUUUACUUUGAAAAAAUUAGAGUGCUCAAAGCAGGCGCUUGCGCCUGAAUAGUGUUGCAUGGAAUAAUGGAAUAGGACCUCGGUUCUAUUUUGUUGGUUUUCGGAACUUGAGGUAAUGAUUAAGAGGGACGGUCGGGGGCAUUCGUAUUUCGGUGUUAGAGGUGAAAUUCUUGGAUCGCUGAAAGACGGACAAAUGCGAAAGCAUCUGCCAAGAACGUCUCCAUUAAUCAAGAACGAAAGUCAGAGGUUCGAAGACGAUCAGACACCGUCCUAGUUCUGACCAUAAACGAUGCCAACUAGCGAUCCGCAGUGGUUGCUAUAAACGGACUCUGCGAGCAGCUUCCGGGAAACCAAAGUGUUUGGGUUCCGGGGGAAGUAUGGUUGCAAAGCUGAAACUUAAAGGAAUUGACGGAAGGGCACCACCAGGAGUGGAGCCUGCGGCUUAAUUUGACUCAACACGGGGAAACUCACCCGGUCCGGACACCGUAAGGAUUGACAGAUCGAGAGCUCUUUCUUGAUUCGGUGGAUGGUGGUGCAUGGCCGUUCUUAGUUGGUGGAGUGAUUUGUCUGGUUAAUUCCGAUAACGAACGAGACUCUAGCCUGCUAACUAGUUGCGCCGUGUUCAUUCGCGGCUGUAGACUUCUUAGAGGGACAGAUGGCGUUUAGCCAUACGAAAUUGAGCAAUAACAGGUCUGUGAUGCCCUUAGAUGUCCGGGGCCGCACGCGCGCUACACUGAAGGAGUCAGCGUGUGCUAUCCGGGCUCGGAAGAGCUCGGUAACCCGUUGAAACUCCUUCGUGCUUGGGAUUGUGGCUUGUAAUUAUCGCGCAUGAACGAGGAAUUCCCAGUAAGUGCAAGUCAUCAGCUUGCGCUGACUACGUCCCUGCCCUUUGUACACACCGCCCGUCGCUACUACCGAUUGAAUGGUUUAGCAAGGUACUCAGAUUGGUCUCGAUCUUGCACGCAAGUGUGAGAUCGAUGGUCGAGAAGAAGGCCAAACUUGAUCAUUUAGAGGAAGUAAAAGUCGUAACAAGGAGC